rnacentral:rRNA from 1 species
UACGUAGGGGGCGAGCGUUGUCCGGAUUUAUUGGGCGUAAAGAGCGUGUAGGCGGUUCGGUAAGUCUGUCGUGAAAUCCUGAGGCUCAACCUUGGACGUGCGAUGGAUACUGCCGGGCUAGAGGAUGGUGAGAGGCGAGUGGAAUUCCCGGUGUAGCGGUGAAAUGCGCAGAUAUCGGGAGGAACACCAGUAGCGAAGGCGGCUCGCUGGGCCAUUCCUGACGCUGAGACGCGAAAGCUAGGGGAGCGAACGAG